rnacentral:rRNA from 1 species
UCCUACGGGAGGCAGCAGUGGGGAAUAUUGGGCAAUGGGGGGAACCCUGAUCCAGCCAUGCCGCGUGUGUGAAGAAGGCCCCCGGGUUGUAAAGCACUUUCAGCGAGGAAGAACGCCUAGCGGUUAAUACCCGCUAGGAAAGACAUCACUCGCAGAAGAAGCACCGGCUAACUCCGUGCCAGCAGCCGCGGUAAUACGGAGGGUGCAAGCGUUAAUCGGAAUUACUGGGCGUAAAGCGCGCGUAGGUGGCUUGAUAAGCCGGUUGUGAAAGCCCCGGGCUCAACCUGGGAACGGCAUCCGGAACUGUCAAGCUAGAGUGCAGGAGAGGAAGGUAGAAUUCCCGGUGUAGCGGUGAAAUGCGUAGAGAUCGGGAGGAAUACCAGUGGCGAAGGCGGCCUUCUGGACUGACACUGACACUGAGGUGCGAAAGCGUGGGUAGCAAACAGGAUUAGAUACCCUGGUAGUCCACGCCGUAAACGAUGUCGACCAGCCGUUGGGUGCCUAGCGCACUUUGUGGCGAAGUUAACGCGAUAAGUCGACCGCCUGGGGAGUACGGCCGCAAGGUUAAAACUCAAAUGAAUUGACGG